GUGGCAACUUUAUAGAGGUAAAUCUCUCAAGGUUGUAUGCUAUCCGAUAGAGUAACUUGAUAUGUUUCAAGUGCUGUUGCCAGGAAAAAUUGGGGUUUGGUUCCAGGGUUCGUGAAUCCAAACCAAAUUUGGGGAAGUAAUCCUUUGUAAUUGGUUUAAUCAUGAAAGUAAAUGGGGAGGAACCUAGUGUUCUGAAUGGCCCACAUGGGGUAAAGAAAGGGGAGAUGCUCAAGAAGAGAAUAUUUUCAACCGCUGCUUCAUAAGCAAGAUGCCCAAGAACAGAAUGUUAUACGAAAUUGCAUAAAAUACGAACUUUGGUUUCCCUUAAAUAUUCUUGGUUGCACUAUGGAAUUCUGAGGAGCUGUGGAAGAAGUGUUUAUCCAUGCAAAAACUGAGUCUGAUAAUUAAAUUAACCCAGAUGUGGAGAUGCUAUAUGGACUUGGUAUCUUGUGUUUCUAUCACCCCUUUCCUUUCCUUGAUUAGAUAGCGCAGGAGUAGAUUUUAUUCAAUUUUAUUUUGAAUUUAGAGACGCUUGUAGGUUAAGCAAAGUUGACAGAAGGGGGACACCAAAGCGUCUCAUCUUGCAAAUGAAAGCAGCAGUAGAUAUUAAAUAUUUAUAAAGACAACCCUCGUCUUCCUUUCCUUUGUUCUGCUGUUAGAUUCGUCUUUGGCAUCCCUAAAGUCAAGGUUUUUAAAAAGAAGGAUACUCCGGUCAUCCAAAUGGCAACUCUCAGAGGCCUGCACGAUUCCACUACUCCUCAUCCCUGAACAGCCUUGAGAUCAACACCUGCCCGAUUUUCUGUUGAUAAGCACAACAAGAAAGGGUAUUUUCUUCGCUUUUCCCUUUCUUUGCUUUUAAUUUUCCCGUUGGUAACUACACUAUAUUUUCUGUCAAUGUGCACUUUGUGUUUAAUUGGACAUGGUCUAUUAUUUUAGGGCAUUAUAAAAUUCAUUUCACUCUACUUUCCUCUCUCUUAAUUAAUAGUGCCUGUUUUAUAGUUGAUGGUUUUUCUGUCCUUAUUAACCCUAUCAACUAAUGCAUAUUAAUUUUCAUCUCACAUUGAGAAGUCAGAUUAUUGCAUGAUUUACUUGAGAAUUCUACGAAAUGAAGAAACAAGUCUCAUCUCAGAUAAGUGCACAGUUAUUUGAGAAUACAACAAAACGAAGAAACAAUUAUAAUCCCCUCUGGGAAAUCUUGUAUCUUUUCAUAGUAAAACACUUCACCUGGGUGUUACUAUGAGCAGAUUGGUAUUGUAUUGGAGAAAAAACAUUAGUCUUUCUGCGAACACGCUAUUAUGAGCAAAUUGGUAUUAUCCAACAUGGUCUUAGUCAAGAUUAGUUAUCUUUUCUCAAGUCUUCUUUAGCAGUUUUGAAUGCCCAUGUCCUUUCAGAAUACAUUGCUUGAGUUGGCAAGUGUAAUAUGCAUCAUCUUAAACUUGUUACGGAUCCCUGAUAGAAGUAACCUUCUUAAGUGAAUUUUUGGGUAAAGCCAUGGAAGAAAGUAACUACAGGAUUUCAAGCAUGUAAGAAAUGUAGCCUCUUUUACCUCCUCAGAUCUGGGUGUAAAAAAGGGUAUUUACCCAACCGUUUGUCAUUUUUUGCUGUUGCUCAAUAGAAUCAAUUGCCACCUCAAGUUAUAAUUCUUGGGAUAAUGAUGUCAGUAAAUGAACAGCACAUGAUCUGGUCUCCAUGAGAAGCUCAAGUACAUUCUGAUGAAAUGAUAUAAAUCACAUCAUACCACUGUAUGUGUGCAUCCUAAAAUGAGGCAUUCUGGCAAGCUAUAUUACUAUGGGUAAUGUUUAGCUUGAGGAAAAAUGAUUUACUUGUUUGUAUGGCAUCCUGUUUAUCUUUUGAGAUGGUGGACACUGUGAUUUCUGUUUGGCGUGCACGAUGCAUGCUGUUUUUCGGCAUAAAUUUCUGACAGGUUAGGCUCAUGGUUGAUAAUAAACUGGAAAAAUCUUGUAGAAGCUUGUUAUAGUAGAAAAAUUGGUUUACUUGUUUGUGUCACGUCCUCCGUGCCCUAUGAUGGACAUUGUAUUUUGAGUUUUGUGUGCAUCGUUUAUUUUUCAGUGUUAAUUUCAGAAUGCCUAGUACUCUACUUAGAUUGUGCUUGUGUUUUGAUUGCUUGGUGUAGAAAUCGAAUAAGCAGGGUUCAGGAUGGCUUAUGAUCCUGUUGUUCACAUCAAGCUGUUCAGAUGAUCCAGGAGAGAUCUAACUCCUUAUUUGCUUAUGAACUUUUAACGAGAUAGUGACGUAGGAUGCAACAAAAAUGAACAAGACUAAGAGGAGGAAGAGGAAGAGAGAGGAGAGAAUUUAGAGGGAGGAAAUAUAAGUUUUUAUUCAAUAUCAAAGUGUAUAUUAAAAUGAAUAAGCCAUCUUUAUAUAGGGUCUACCAAACCUAAUUUGCGAAGUGAACAAAGUAAAUAAACCCCAAAUUUAGUCAAAGUAGAAAAUCUAUCAAACAAUAACUUAAUUCGAGUCAAACUAGAAAACUAUAAUAAACUAAUAUAAAUUAAACUAUCUUUAUUCCCCAUCAGAUAGUUCAUGCAAAUUCUGAGGUAUGUAUUUUCGGACUUGGUAUUUAUUCUAUAGCUGUUGAUAUAACAUGGAUAUAGAAAGGUUAAGGACUCCAUUUUCAGUACAUGAACUUUCUUUCCAAUAUGUAAAAUUGUUUUUGUGUAGUAUACAUAUUGUUUUAGGAACUUUGAGAUUUUUCUCGUCUUUUUGGUAGUUUCAACACGUACAACUUCUCAACUUGACAAAUUAUUGUUUUGAAUAGUGUGUUAUAGGGAAGGGUUUUCCAGUUUUUUUGUUAAAUUAGAUAUAAGACAACUUCUUGUUUGAAAUAACAGUUGUUACCAAACAAGAGAUAUUUAUGGGUUUCUUGGUAUAGAUAUUUGAUGUGUGUUUUCUCCCAAAUUAUCAGAUAAUAUUACGAAUCUAAGAAAUAAUAUCUUUACUUGGCAUUUAUGAUUUUUGACAAUGCCCACCAAUGGUCGGACAUGUAUGUACCUGGCCGCCUGCUGGGGGUAGUUCUGUUGUAGAGAAAGAGAUGAUUGGAUUGCCAUGGAUGGUCAUCAAAUGAUGUUAGAAACUUUAGCUCCAUCUUCAGCUUCAUGUUGGUGUAUUCUCUUCGAAAAAUCCAAAUAAAUAACUGGCAUUUGUCCAUUUACAGGAUAACGUUUCGAUCUAGAGCCUCGGUGUCAAUGCAUGGACUAAUAUUAUCCUGGUUAUUCUACUUCUGCUGAAGGUCAACAGAGAAGGAAAGAAGAGAAUUCAAGGGUGAUGUGCUAAAGAAUCACGACGAUGGUUUCCACUUGAAUAAUUUGGAGUCGGAUCUCUUCACUGUGCAAAAAACGGCAUAUACCAGCUCCCCUAACUGUGACAGAGUUGAAGAUCUGAGAACAUUUAAAAGGAAAAGCCAUGAAUCAAAGUCAACUCUAAGAGAUUAGAUAAGACUUACAUCAACUGAUGGAGUAAUUCCUUUCUCUUCCAGUUUGGCCUUUGCAUUUCGAAUC